GGAGAGAUGCCGGAGCGGCUGAACGGACUAGUCUCGAAAACUAGAGAAGGGGCAACUCUACCGGGGGUUCAAAUCCCCCUCUCUCCGCCA
rnacentral:tRNA from 1 species